rnacentral:rRNA from 1 species
AAUAUUGAAGUGUAAUAGCUUCAAAAAACUAUAUAAUUACUUCAGGUAGUAGACUCAAGUUGUGAUCAAGUAAGUAAGAGCUUACGGUGGAUACCUUGGCAUUCAGAAGCGACGAAGGGCGUGGCUACCGACGAAACGCUUCGGGGAGCUGGAAGCAAGCUUUGAUCCGAAGGUGCCCGAAUGAGAACACUCUUUACACUACCUACCGAAUUCAUAGGUAGGCAAGAGCAAACCUGGUGAACUGAAACAUCUUAGUAGCCAGAGGAACAGAAAGCAAAAGCGAUUCCCUAAGUAGCGGCGAGCGAAACGGGAUCAGCCUAAACCACUUUAAUACAUUUUAGUGGGGUUGUGGGACGACAAUAUGAGAUUAAUGAAGAUUAGAUGAAGUAGAUGGAAUGCUACACCAUAGAAGGUGAUAGUCCUGUAAUUGAAAAUCUAAGUUACUCUAGUCUUAUCCCAAGUAGCAUGGGGCACGUGAAAUCCCGUGUGAAUCAGCGAGGACCACCUCGUAAGGCUAAAUAUUCCUGAAUGACCGAUAGUGCAACAGUACCGUGAGGGAAAGGUGAAAAGAACCCCGGGAGGGGAGUGAAAUAGAACAUGAAACCGUAAGCUUACAAGCAGUAGGAGAACGACUUAACGUCUGACUGCGUGCAUGUUGAAGAAUGAGCCGGCGACUUAUAGGCAGUGGCAGGUUAAGAUAAAGAAUAUCAAAGCCAUAGUGAAAGCGAGCUUGAAUAGAGCGUUAGUCACUGUUUAUAGACCCGAACCCGGAUGAUCUAGCCAUGGCCAGGGUGAAGCUUAGGUAACACUAAGUGGAGGUCCGAACCGACUGAUGUUGAAAAAUCAGCGGACGAGCUGUGGUUAGGGGUGAAAUGCCAAUCGAAUCCGGAGCUAGCUGGUUCUCCCCGAAAUGCGUUGAGGCGCAGCGGUUGAUGCUUAAUCUUAGGGGUAAAGCACUGUUUCGGUGCGGGCUGCGAGAGCGGUACCAAAUCGAGGCAAACUCUGAAUACUAAGUGUGUAAUCAACCAGUGAGACAGUGGGGGAUAAGCUUCAUUGUCAAAAGGGAAACAGCCCAGACCACCAGCUAAGGCCCCCAAAUAUCUACUAAGUGGCAAAGGAAGUGGGAAUGCAUAGACAACCAGGAGGUUUGCUUAGAAGCAGCAACCCUUUAAAGAGUGCGUAAUAGCUCACUGGUCAAGUGAUCCUGCGCCGAAAAUGAACGGGACUAAGUAGUUUGCCGAAGCUGUGGGAUGUUUUACAUCGGUAGGGGAGCGUUCUGUAUUAGUUAGAAGCGUUAGCGUGAGCGGGCGUGGACAAAACAGAAGUGAGAAUGUCGGCUUGAGUAGCGAAAACAUUGGUGAGAAUCCAAUGCCCCGAAAACCUAGAGACGCACCUCUGGUGUGCCAGUUAUUGUGCCAACAGUAAACGCUGGGUAGCCAAGUGCGGAGUGGAUAACCGCUGAAAGCAUCUAAGUGGGAAGCCCACCUCAAGAUGAGUACUCUCACCGUUUCAACGGGUAAGAUCACGGUAAGAUUAACCGUUUGAUAGGCGCUAAGUGUAAGUGCAGCAAUGUAUUCAGCUGAAGCGUACUAAUAGAUCGAGGACUUGACCAACUUGAAAAGUACUUGAAGUAGCUGUAGCUGUAUAGUUCUAUGUC